rnacentral:miRNA from 1 species
AGAAUAUGUUAUAUACUCUAUCA